CCUACGGGGGGCAGCAGGGAGGAAUAUUGGUCAAUGGACGAGAGUCUGAACCAGCCAAGUAGCGUGAAGGAUGACUGCCCUAUGGGUUGUAAACUUCUUUUAUAUGGGAAUAAAAUGUUCCACGUGUGGGAUUUUGUAUGUACCAUAUGAAUAAGGAUCGGCUAACUCCGUGCCAGCAGCCGCGGUAAUACGGAGGAUCCGAGCGUUAUCCGGAUUUAUUGGGUUUAAAGGGAGCGUAGGUGGAUUGUUAAGUCAGUUGUGAAAGUUUGCGGCUCAACCGUAAAAUUGCAGUUGAAACUGGCAGUCUUGAGUACAGUAGAGGUGGGCGGAAUUCGUGGUGUAGCGGUGAAAUGCUUAGAUAUCACGAAGAACUCCGAUUGCGAAGGCAGUUCACUGGACUGCAACUGACACUGAGGCUCGAAAGUGUGGGUAUCAAACAGGAUUAGAUACCCCAGUAGUC
rnacentral:rRNA from 1 species